GAACUCAGGACCUCACACUUGCCAGGCAGGUGCUGUGCUGCUGAGCUACUUCCCUGGCCCAGAAGUAAGUUUUGAUUCUUUGUAAAAGUGAGCACUUUGGCUUAUAUAUGAGUUAGAAAAGUUAGAAAUAAUUGUUCAUUUUUAAUAUGUACUUUAUGGUGAAAUUUCUUAUCUAAGAAAUACAAGUAGGUAAAAACAAAAUUCAGGUCAGUAGUGUUGACUAGUUUCUAAAACUCUAUUUUUAUCCUGAGGCCAAUAAUAUAUAAACAGAAUGUUCAUAGUUUAUGUUUAAGGUAUACCUAGGGAUUGCUGUUGUUUUAUUUAUUUUAGGGAAAGGAUAGUGAGAUUUUACUUUGGAAAUCCCUGGAAGCCUUUCAGUGGUCUUUGGACUGACUAAUAAAUCUUACUUUUACCACUAAAAGAAUAUUAUUCUUAUGGUAAUGAGAAUAAUCUUUUGAAUACCUGGCAUAAUAAAUGCCUAAAAGACAUUUUGUUUUAUGAAUCUAUUUUUUUCUGCUAUAAUGAGGAUAUUGUAAAUCAUACAUUUGUAUUAAUGAUAUUUCUUAAAGCAAUAUAUGUAACUAAACUGAACUGAUCUACAAACUGUAGGCAUCUGUAAGUUCUGUUGUAGGUGCUAUAAACUUCAUUGGAGUUUUAAUGGGGGCAGAUUAUGUUGUGACUGUAUUAUUAAAAUACAUUGUCAAAAUAUUUUAGAUGUUUUCUUAAAUUGAAUAAGUGUUUAUUGGAGUAGUAACUUGGAAAGUGCAGAACUUUAUAUUUGUAUAAAGCUCUAUUGUUUACAAAGCAAAAAAA